UACGGGGGGGGCAAGCGUUGUUCGGAAUUACUGGGCGUAAAGGGCUCGUAGGUGGCCAACUAAGUCAGACGUGAAAUCCCUCGGCUUAACCGGGGAACUGCGUCUGAUACUGGAUGGCUUGAGAUUGGGAGAGGGAUGCGGAAUUCCAGGUGUAGCGGUGAAAUGCGUAGAUAUCUGGAGGAACACCGGUGGCGAAGGCGGUUCUCUGGGCCUUACCUGACGCUGAGGAGCGAAAGCGUGGGGAGCAAACAGG
rnacentral:rRNA from 1 species